GACGAACGCUGGCGGCGUGCUUAACACAUGCAAGUCGAACGGAAAGGCCCUGCUUUUGUGGGGUGCUCGAGUGGCGAACGGGUGAGUAACACGUGAGUAGCCUGCCCUUGACUUUGGGAUAACUUCAGGAAACUGGGGCUAAUACCGGAUAGGAGCUCCUGCUGCAUGGUGGGGGUUGGAAAGUUUCGGCGGUUGGGGAUGGACUCGCGGCUUAUCAGCUUGUUGGUGGGGUAGUGGCUUACCAAGGCUUUGACGGGUAGCCGGCCUGAGAGGGUGACCGGCCACAUUGGGACUGAGAUACGGCCCAGACUCCUACGGGGGGCAGCAGUGGGGAAUAUUGCACAAUGGGCGGAAGCCUGAUGCAGCAACGCCGCGUGCGGGAUGACGGCCUUCGGGUUGUAAACCGCUUUCGCCUGUGACGAAGCGUGAGUGACGGUAAUGGGUAAAGAAGCACCGGCUAACUACGU
rnacentral:rRNA from 1 species